AUACGGAGGAUCCUAGCGUUAUCCGGAUUUACUGGGUUUAAAGGGUGCGUAGGCGGGCGCUUAAGUCCGCGGUGAAAGUCUGCGGCUCAACCGUAGGAUUGCCGUGGAUACUGGGCGUCUUGGAUUCGGUCGGGGCGGGCGGAAUGCGUGGUGUAGCGGUGAAAUGCAUAGAUAUCACGCAGAACGCCGAUAGCGAAGGCAGCUCGCCGGGCCGAUAUCGACGCUGAGGCACGAAAGCGUGGGGAUC
rnacentral:rRNA from 1 species